UAUAUGUUGUCUGUGAUUGUUUUUAUUAAAGCUGAUCAUAUUUAUGUUGUCCUGAAGUGUGAUGAUUGGAGGUGUGCGGGUUCGAGCGCUGUACAACUACACCGGAGAGGAGCCUGAUGAGCUCUCCUUCAAAUCAGGUGAAGAGUUCCUCAAGGUGGAGGACGAGGAUGACCAGGGCUGGUGCUGGGGCGUGAAGGAGGGCGGAGCCGAAGGGUUUUAUCCAGCAAAUUACGUCCUGCCUGUCAAGUGACAUCAUCAAUCACAGCUGAGGCACAACAGUGGUUAUUUACAGUUAUGAGAAGCACACACAGUGGCAGUGAAGAUGUGUCUGAAUGUCAUUGCAUCUCAGAGUGCUGUAAGUGCAUGCUGAAAGAGAAACUACACUUCAUUAACUGCAAAGAAAGUCAUGCAAGACUGAAAGAGUAUUAUGUGAUCAACUGUUUUAUUUACAUCUGAACAUUAUUUUUAUGCAGUGCUCCUCUCAGAAUUAACUUUUCUUCUGACUUUUUCAUCAUAUUGUCAUGUAAGAGUUUACUUUUUUGGCUUGAACGUGUGUUUGUGUUACGUUUUCACUAUUUAUUGUCCAAUUGCAAUGACAUUCAGACAUUUUCACAUAUCAAAAUCUUUUUGGUGGCAAACAAUUUCAGUGCCCAAAAAAUUAAAAAGAUCUAACUAAUAUUUCGAUAGACCAAAAUAAUAAAAAGAGUUGAAAUUCUGCUCGGUGGGUGAAACGUUUACCUCUUUAUUUAAUAAUAUAUGAUGCCAUUAAUUUUAAUUAACACAUCUUUUCCACUUAUGCUUUUGGAAAUCCUCCAAAAGACCGGCGAAUGAUUCAAGCUGAGUCCAGAAACGCCCUCUUUGUAAUUUAUAUAUUGCUUAAUGAAGGGUUGUACAAAAACCAGUAGGAGCUUGUUAGAAAGAUUACAGGGCACUGGAGAAAGAGCCUCCAUUAUCAUCAGAGCCAAAUCCAUAUUAUAUUUCACCUGCAGGGGUUUGAACUUGACUGAUUAUAGCUAUAAAUAACAUUUCUGUGCAUCGAUCAGCCCUGACACCAGAGAUGAGCUCAACGUCCACGACUGAAUCAGAACAGAGAGAUUUUACCAGGUAAACAGCAUUGAACAGGUAAAUACACUGUAGCAGUCUGACAUUAAUCUUGGAAAGACAGGGACCUCUGGUGGUGGAUCUGAAAUCACAGUUCUGAUGUUGUGCACUUUUCCCACAGUCAAUACUCAGUUCUGUCCUUUUGGGUUUUUAGUUUUACUGUAUGUAGGGUUAUCAUUUCGUGCAUAAUAAGCACUCUUAAUGUACAGAGCGAUGUUUCUAAUUUGGGGGUUUAACCUGGGAUAAAUACAGUAAAAUAAAAUCAUUUAAAAC